UUGUCUUUUAAAAAUAUAUAAAAGAAAACCUUUGCAAUUAUCCGUUCAAUAUAUUAGAAAGUUGGAGGUUAGUUUAAUGAGUGUCAUUUAAAGUUUCAACAACAGUCAGUUGGAGCUCGGAUACGAGGAGUGUUGUUGUUAGUACUUUUUGAGGCUCCUCUUCAAAUAAAACUGUUUAUUCUAACAUCCGGUGACAUGGAAGUAUUAAGCCUACGGAUCCUCUUUCUUCUGUGCUGCAUAUUUGCAAUGUCCGAGUGCCGUGGGGCGUGUGCAGAAGUGGACUCUGACACAGAGGCAGUGGCGGGCAAGGGCUUCAAACUGGGCUGCAUCUCCUGCAAGAUGAGGAGGGAGGUGGAGGCCACUGCCACUGUCGAAUGGUACUUCAGGCCGAAAGGAGAAGCCGACUUUGUUCAUAUCUACACCUACAACGAGGAAGGCCCCCUCAUUGAACACGACGACUUUAUGGACCGUUUGGAUUGGAACGGAACUAAGAGGAGCCAAGACAUCCAGGAUGGAUCCAUAUACCUGCACAACGUCACCUUCAAUGACACGGGCACCUACCGCUGCUUUUUCAACCGCAUCCUCUUCUACGCUAACCAUGAAAACAGCACCGUUAUCAGCAAAGUGGUCCAACUUUCUGUGGUGGCUAAAGCGACCAGAGGAACGGCUUCCAUCGUGUCCGAAGUCAUGAUGUAUGUGUCCAUCAUUGGCCUUCAGGUCUGGCUCCUCAUAGAGAUGAUAUACUGCUACAGGAAAAUAUCAGCAGCUGGGGAAGAAGCAUUGAGAGAAGCAGCAAAUGCUGAAUAUUUAGCGAUAGCCUCAGAAAGUAAAGAGAACUGCGCAGGGGUGCAGGUUGGAGAAUAGCACAGGUAGGUUUGUGAUCCCGAGGUGAAAGUGCAUGUCAGCAGCAUCAUUCCCAGGCUUCUUCCCUGGACUAAAAAUAUCCUUCCACCCUCUGACCUGCAUGUAGACAACUUGGGGGUAAAACUCCUCUUCACCUCAAGCCUCUAUUUGACCUUUUCCCUGACAAAGAUCACACAUGGAUAUUACAUACAAAGAGAGCAUGGUACCAGCACUGUAAAUAGUAUUCUGCGCCAAAAAAGCAUGUUCUGCUUCUGCACUUAUUUGAUUAUUUGAAAACCAUUAUGCAUUAAAGAGCCACAUUGUCGUAUUUUUAACGUACAGGAUUUCUUUUAAGUAUAUGUAGUCACUAGGGGUGUGACGAGACACUCAGCUCACGAGACAAGACAAGAGAUUGGGUUCACGAGACAAGACGAGAUUUUAACACUAUAUUAAAGAAAACUUAAAUGAUGAAAUAUGAAUGGAAAAAGUCUUUUAUGUAAGUCACAACAUGAAUUGUGAAAGGUUUUGCCACAAACUAAGAUAGCUUCUCUCCUGUAUUACUAACCUCUUCAGACCUCUCUCCUCCCAAAACCGGUCCAUAGAACCUAUUAAUCAAAAAAAUAUUAAUUUCUUACACACUUUUAUUCUUGUAUUUGUAUCUUAUUCUUCUUUUAGCCAUUUUUAUUUUCAUUACGUUAUGUAAAGCACUUUAAAUUGCCUUGUUGCCUAAAGGUGCAAUAGAAAUAAUAUUGCCUUGCCUUGCCUGUACAACCUCAGCCUGUCAGUCUGUAACCAGGGCAUAUGAAUGCUUUUGUCUUGUGCCUGUCACUCAGUCAGGCAAGUCUGUCUCGGAAGUAAACAUUAACUGCACGGCUAGCGAUCUCGCUAUUAUAUUAUAUUCCAGCAAACAGUGUCUGCGUGAAGUUUUGAAAAGUGUAACCACACGUGUCCGCUUUGCCAUGUCUCACUGUGACUUUAAGAAACUGCAGAGGCAAAUGUAACUUUCGGUGUGUGUGUGUGUGUGUGUGUGUGUGUGUGUGUGUUAUAAAAAAUAGAAUAUAAUGGACCUGGAUAGACUGUUUUUCCAGUUGCUAGUUGUACAUUCAAGUGUUCAAGUCUUAAGAUGUACUAAUAAAAAC